rnacentral:rRNA from 1 species
UACGGAGGGUGCAAGCGUUAAUCGGAAUUACUGGGCGUAAAGCGUGCGCAGGCGGUUUGUUAAGUCUGUUGUGAAAUCCCCGAGCUCAACUUGGGAAUUGCAAUGGAUACUGGCAGGCUGGAGUAUGGUAGAGGAAGGUGGAAUUCCACGUGUAGCGGUGAAAUGCGUAGAGAUGUGGAGGAACACCAGUGGCGAAGGCGACUCUCUGGGCUGUAACUGACGCUGAGGCACGAAAGCGUGGGGAGCAAACAGG